rnacentral:rRNA from 1 species
GACGAACGCUGGCGGCGUGCUUAACACAUGCAAGUCGAACGAAGUGGCGCACGGGUGAGUAACGCGUAGGUAACUACCUAUGAGGGGGGGAAAACUAUUGGAAACGAUAGCAAAUCCCGCAUAUGAGUAGAUGGGCCUUCGUCGUAUUAGCUAGUAGGUAGGGUAAUGGCCUACCUAGGCAACGCUACACAGCCGACCUGAAAGGGUGAACGGCCAACACGGGACUGAGGAACGGCCCCAACUCCCACGGGGGGCAGCAGUAGGGAAACUUCGGAAAGUGGGGGCACCCUGAACGCGCACCGGCGGGUGAGUGAAGAAGGUUUUCGGGUCGUAAAGCUCUGUUGUGAAGGGAGCGGUACUUACCCAGAAAGCGACGGCUAACUACGUGCCAGCAGCCGCGGUAAUAC